rnacentral:rRNA from 1 species
UACGUAGGGUGCAAGCGUUGUCCGGAAUCAUUGGGCGUAAAGCGCGCGUAGGUGGCCAUUUAAGUCCGCUGUGAAAGUCAAAGGCUCAACCUUUGAAAGCCGGUGGAUACUGGAUGGCUAGAGUACGGAAGAGGCGAGUGGAAUUCCUGGUGUAGCGGUGGAAUGCGCAGAUAUCAGGAGGAACACCAAUAGCGAAGGCAGCUCGCUGGGACGUUACUGACACUGAGGCGCGAAAGCGUGGGGAGCAAACAGG